UUUAAGAAAGUUUUCAAAAUUUGAAAAGUUGAAUUCUAGUUAAAAAUAAAUUUUAAAAUGUAUAAACAUUUUGCAAUUAUUUUUUUUCUUUCCAGAUGUCUUUUCGUACCUGUCACUUUUACUGAAGCAUAUUAUUCAUAUCAGGACUUAUGGACAUUUAAGCAAAUGUAUGAGGAAUAUAUACAUAAUUUUUAUAUUAAUUUCGGAAAAAUAAUAAAUUGUCCGUCAUGGAAUUUAACCAUUGAAAAAUUAUAUGAUGAAAUGAAUGACCUUAGAUUAUACAAAACAGAGUAUCCUGAAUAUAUAGAUGUAAAUACAAUACAAGAAAUGACAGAUAAUUUAAUGUUAUAUUAAUAUACGGAUAUGUUAGAAAGAGAAAACAAAACUUGUUUGAGCCUGCGAAAAAACCCAACUUUGAAUGAGAUCAAAAUAUUGCCCGAUUACCAAUUAACAAUAUUAUAUAUACAUUUUGUCAAUAAUUUUUGGGUAAUUUAAAGUGCUUUUCCAUAAAUAUAGUAUUUAAAAAAAUUCAGAAAUUUGUUAUCGAUUUUCGGUACAUUUUGUUAAUAUUUUUUUAUUCAAUGUUUUGUGAUUUUAUGCCGAUUAUUUUUGUUUUUGUUGGUUUAGUGACAAAAGCAGUGUUGUUUUUCGUUGAUGUUGACACAUUUUCAUUAGAAAAGUAGAAUUGGUGAUUCUGUUAAAUUAUUAUUUUUAUAUUGUACCUAUAUAAAUAUGAUUUUUUUACUACGCUAAUAUUAAAAAAAAUUACAGGAAAAUAGUCUGGUAUUCCUAAAAAUGAUGAUUAUGGAUGCUCUUAAAGCAUAUUUCUAUCAUUUAAAUUUAUAUAUUACAACUUACCCUUGUUAUACUGAGACAUCAGAAGUGACAAAUGGAAUACAGGAUUUUAAAAAUUAUAUUAAAGAAUUAAAUUUAAAGUUUCCCUUGCUUAUAAAUGUAGAUAUAAUAAGUUUUGGGAAAAGUUUUAUAUCAUAUGUCACAGAUUUUGUAACUCGUAUGAAUAAAAAUGCUACAGAUGUAAGGAAAAAUUCAAAGAUUCUAAUGCUACAAGAAAUAUUAAAAUGAAUUUGCAAACAAGUUAUUCGAAUUUUGUUGAAAAUAUUGAUAAAAAAGAAGUGGCAAAAUUCAGUAACUCAAUUUACCUUGUACCAAGCAAUAUAACAAACUCUGAAAUAGUUCUAAACAACAAAAGGAAAAAUGGAUAUCAUCUUACAUUCACAAAUAUUUAUAAUUG